rnacentral:lncRNA from 1 species
UUAUGCUCACUAUCCCACUCACUUUUUCUCUUUGGAGAUGUUGACAUAGCUCUUUGAAGACAUCAAAAGUGUCAUAUUUUUCUUUAAUAAAGUUGACCCAAAGUAUACCUUGAGAAAUCAUCCACACACACAAACACAUAUCUUUUCCCAUCCAUACUUUCAACUUGCAUAGGCCUCGUGAGGUCCAUAUGAAUUAACUCUUAAACUUUAUUGGUGACAAGUUGUUGGAGCUUCUUAUGGGGCAUCUUGGUCUGCUU